ensembl:lncRNA
AGAGGUAGAGAGAGAGAGCGAGAAGUGCAGGGGGUGGUGACGGGAGAAUGGCAGAGAGAGAGAGAGAGAGAGGUAGAGAGAAAGAGAGAGGUGCAGGGGUGGUGACAGGAGAAUGGCAGAGAGAGAGAGAGGUAGAGAGAGAGAAAGAGAGAGGUGCAGGGGUGGUGACAGGAGAAUGGCAGAGAGAGAGAGAGAGAGAGAGAGAGGUGCAGGGGGUGGUGACGGGAGAAUAGCAGAGAGAGAUUGAAGAAGCGCUUGUAUUGGCAUUGCCACAAAGAAGGCACGACUCCGGUCUACCUCUUCUCUGAUUGACAGAUGAGGAGGAGGAGCGAAUCCAGACAGCUCUUUCUCAACCAAUUGCAAUGAAAGGGGGUUCUGGUUGCUGCAGCAACAGCACACCUUGGCUACCUAUUGGAGGAGCUGGAAAG